AUAUUUUUAGAGCACAAAGCAUUGUAUUUUUGCAGGAAAAACUCUUGCUUGCUUGCUUUCUGCAGUUCCUACAACACAUUUUGACACUGGUUAAUCAGCAUCAAGAUGUUUGAGUGAACUGAGGAGGAGCAAUCUUCUACAACCUACUAGCAUAGGGUGCAAGAAUGCUUUCACAUUUUGCCCUCUUCCUCCUGCACUGCAGUUAUUGGCACAAGCAUCUUUCUAAGCACUGCCACCCACAAGGCCAGUGUUCAGCUUCAAGGCAGCCAAGAACAAGAUUUAAUCCUGUGUCAAAUCAUCUUGGUACUGUAGGUACAAGGGGAAAAAACAGACUUAAGCCACUUAAUUUUGUGACUGAUAUGUUUAGCUUCAAGUUCUUUGAAGAUGGAUUUAACACCCUUCUAACACUUCUCUUGAUACCCAGCAGCAGGCAAAAGGACAAAGAUCAGGAGAGACAAGGAAUGCAAAAAGGUCAGUAAUGUUCAUUACAAAAAGAUAUUCAGAGACUGCAUUUUUCUUUAAGUUAUUGAAGAGGAGUGUAAUUGUCUCAUGCCUUUUUAACAUACAGGAAAAACGGUUGCCCACUAAAUCUCUUGCAAAAUUAGAAGUUUCAAUGGAAGACCUGGACACUUUCCCUCCAAAAUACACUUACCUGGUCUCUCCUCACUAGACAAGAAGCUGCAGCAUUCGAGGACUAGAACUAGGAAAGUUAAUUUACUAAUUUACAUGUAUGCUGAGUGAUAACAAUCCAGGACAUCACGUCCAGUCUGUAGGAGGCUUUUGUUCUGAUUUUUGGAUUGCUUCCAUGGCAG
rnacentral:lncRNA from 1 species